AGUCAUGUUUCUUUCCCUUGGUAAGGUAAUUGAAUAACAGGUUGUUGCUCACAUGGAAAAGCCUCCUUAAGGUUUGGUUAGGUUAGUCAAUCCGGCCGAGACGCGUUCGUUGACAAAACCGCCGCAAAAACCCUUGAAAGGCCGACUCUUUAACAGUUCCUCCUCCACCUAAUUUCCUUUUACAUAUUCACCAUACAACAGUUAAGCUCGUAUAUACAUGUAUAUUUUCUGCUAUGCUGAAUUUUAUCUGCAAACUUUGAUGCAUCACUUGUGCUUAUCAUGUAAUUUUUUGUUGAUUGAUUUGCUUUUCUUUUUGUGUGCGUGUGUGUGUGGAUUUUGAUUCUCUUGCAGCAUAUUAUUCAACCUUUUAACUGAAAAUUUCUAUUUUAUGCAAAUUUAGAAUUUUUUUGUUAGAUUGUGUUUGAGAGUUUUAGAAUUCUAAAGGGUAAUAGUGGAAAGUAGUUAUUAAUUUAUGUCCUUGAAUGUUUUUUCUUAAGGGGUGUAUAUUGACCUAAGAAAACCUUGUUUACUUUUGUAAUUUUGUUAUUGGAUAGGAAGUAAAUCACCCUUUACCAUAUUGUUGCGGAUUUCCACUUACGCAGUUGUCUUCUUGUAACUUAAAAUGUGAUAUUUUCAUCUCAAUGUCAUGGAUAUGAAUUCUAAAGCUCGGUUCAUUGAAGGUUGAUUUCAUUUAUGAAAACCUCCAAAAAUAGUUACUUUAUCGUAAUUUGCAAUGAAGUUAUCGAAACUUGGACGAGGUAAACUGGUGGUUCUAUCUGAGCAGGUUUUUGGAUAGAGAUUAUGUGUUGUAAUAUGGUAUUUCCAUCUCUAAUACAUGUCAUAAUAGUAUGUUGAGGUACUAAUGGAAUUGAUUGGAAAAACACAAUAGAGUAGUCUAGCUGUAAAUUUUGGAUUUGAGGCUGAAAAUUCUCGUGUAUAUUUUCUUAGUCUAAGGAUUUGAAGGGACACUUAAUACGAUUUUUAAUGGAAGACAAUGUUUUGUAAUUCAAUGGGAAGUUUGGGGAGAGGUGAUUAGACGAGACUUGGCGCAACUUCAAGUUAUCGAGAACAUGACCUUAGAUAGGAGAGUGUGGAGGUAUCGUGUAUUUGGGUAGAAGGUUAGUAGGUAGGAGUGUGUUCUCUUGCUUUUAGAGGGAUUUAGUCUUGGUGGUGCCUAUUGUAGUAUUAUCUUUAUUCUCGUGUGUCUUGCUUUUGAUUUCUAUAUCAUGUUUUGUUUAUUGUGUUUAGGUUAUCCACUAUCGUGGUUGUUACUAAUCCCUUAUUAGUUGUUAUGUUUCUUUUUUUCCUGUUUCAUACCUACUUUGAUUUGUUGUACUCAGCUGAAGGUACUCCGAAAACAGCCUCUCUACUCCUAUGAAGUAGGGACAAGGUCUGCCUACACUCUAUCCUUUUCAGACUCCACUUGUAUGAUGUUGUUGAAUUGUUGAGUGUGAUUGGUUCGAGAGAGAUCAGUUGGAUGAUGGGUCUUUUUAUUUUUGGCACUGGGCUGGACUAGCAAUCUGUAAAGAAGGCCCUAAUAGGGAAGGUGGAUAAAUUGCAGAAAAUUACGUGAGUCUUUUGACCCUUUCGCGAAGAAGAAAACAUCGUAUUUCCCUCCCUUUUAAGUAGACAAAAAAUCUCAAAGCUUUCUGUCCAAAGUUUCCUAAAAAUGUUUUCUUCAUCCUCGAGACACACUAGGUUCAUUCUAAACAAUUCGUCGGAGGAAGAGUUUUUGUUGUUAAAGUGGUUAAUGUGCUCCCACGACUCGACAUAGCGUUACUUAGGCUGGAUAGAAGCGAUUGAAUGAACCGUAGACACACGUAAUGUUUGUUUUUGUUGGGGAUGAAUUAUUUGUUCUUGGAAGUUGCUAUCCAAAAUCGUAUCAACAAGGAGUUAUUUGUGGAGUUGGGAGGUUCAUUGAUUCGCGGUCUCUUUCAAACAACGGUGGGUACAAUUUCAUCCCAAGGGUGCAUCACUUUUAUCUUGCCUAAGCAACGCUAUGUCGAGUCGUGCAGUUCUUUAACAACAAAAACUCUUUCCUCUGACGAAUUAUUUAAAAGGGAUCUAGCGUGUCUCAAGAAUGAAGAAAAUGUUUUAGAGAACCUGAACAAAAAACUUUUAAGUUUUUUUUGUCUAGUUAAAAGGAAUGGAAAUACGUUGUUUGCUUCGCGAAAGAGUCAAAAACUCAUGUUUCUGUAAUUUAUCCACCUUUUCUAUCAAGGCCUUCUUUACGCUACUGACUACUUGUAGGAUUCAUCGUGACAUAAGGCUAGCGGAGAAAAUUAUGGAGUUCCUAGUC
rnacentral:lncRNA from 1 species